rnacentral:rRNA from 1 species
AAACUUUACAAUGCGGGAAACCGUGAUAAGGGGACACCGAGUGCUAGCAUCAUAUGCUGGCUGUCCAGGUGUACACCUGUAGCAAGGGCCGGCAAGUCUGGUGUCAGCCGCCGCGGUAACACCGGCGGCCCGAGUGGUGAUCGUGAUUAUUGGUAGUAAAGGGUCCGUAGCCGGUUUGGUCAGUCCACCGGGAAAUCUGAUAGCUUAACUAUUAGGCUUCGGGGAUACUGCCAGACUUGGAACCGGGAGAGGUAAGAGGUACUACGGGGGUAGGAGU